rnacentral:lncRNA from 1 species
AAUUCAUAGCUAAAAACAGAUAGUAUUGUACAGAUUACGUCACAAUAAAUACACGUUGUAAAAAGUUUUACCCGUAAAUAAUUUGACAAAAACUUUAUGGUUAUAAUAUGCAAUUCCAAGUUUAUUCGCGUAGGGAAAAGUUAUUAUAUGCCAAAAAACAUUAAAAAUAUCAGACUAAGUGCUUAAUUUAAACGAAACUUUCUAUUUAUGGAGACCACAUUCUUAAUUAAUUCUUGGUGUCAAAAUUAAUGAAAACUGACACUCUAUGAACUUGUAAUACUAUUACACCAGGAUUGAUAACCCCAAAAAACACAAGUUAUAAUAUACUGAUUAUAUCUCCCAAUAAAUCUUAACAGAUUGUCAUUUCAGACUGAAUGAAAGUACAUGUUAUUACGUAUAUUAAUAUACCCUGAUAGUAACCUAAAACUUUUGAUACAGUAAUAACAAAUAUAUCAUGUACACUAAUCCGAAAUGUAGACAAUUUUCUUGUUCAUGUAGACAAAAUGAUAUUCAUGCAAUAUUGUUAUACAAUAUCAAAUUUGUAAUAAAAUUACAAUAAGAUCUUCCCUUGUUUCAUGAUUGAGCAUAUCAUCAAACACGUCUUUACCAGAGGCAAAACGAUCUUCUAUUUCAAAUAAUUUAUACGGUAUAAUAGAGAAGAAAGGGUAUGGUUUAUAAAAGAAAGACCAAAAACUUAACUCGCAAUUUGAAAAAUAAAGCUUUUAUUUCCCUUCUUCAUCUUAAAAUAAAAGUGCGGAUUUUAAUCUGGAAUGUUACAAGCGUAGGGCAAAAAAAAUAAAAUCAAAGAUACCGAAAUCUUGUUUUGAUAUAAAAAGGUGAAGUUCAUAAACCUGACAAAAUCAAACGAGCAGCUAUAUCAAAAGAGAGGCGAAAAAUACCAUAGGAGCAUUAAAACUCAUGUGUCGACAAUAAACAGACAACGCCAUGGCUCAAAAGAACAAGCCCGAUAGACAAACAAUAGUACUACACAAAACACAACAUAGAAAACUAAAAACUAAGCAACAAGAACCCCGCC